CCGGCAGGGGCUUUGCGUCUUGUGAUUGGAUGACGGGCAUGUACAACCGCACCAGAGUACCAAUUGGAGGGCGAGGCUGGAGCUAGCGGGGGCGGUGAUUCCAGCUCCAAUAGCGUAUUGAAACUUGUUGCAGUUUAAAAGCUCGUAUUUGUAUUUCAGCCUCGCGUUUUUUCCCUUUUGUUGGGUCUUGUCACUACCUCCCUGUUUCCUUUGAGAAAAUUAGAGGGUUUCAUGCAGACUUUUGUCUUGAAUACUUCAGCAUGGAAUAAUAGAGUAGGACCUUGGUUCUAUUUUGUUGGUUUUGAGCCUUGGUAAUGGUUAAUAGGAACGGUU
rnacentral:rRNA from 1 species